ensembl:lncRNA
AACUUGGCUCUGUUUGGAGCUCUCAGUCGUGAGGUCUGGUUCUAUGACAUAUCUUUUGACUUCUAAGAUAAUUAGCAGUCUGGGCAGACAAGGUGUCCCAGCCCUGUAAUCCUGGCACUCUGGAGGCUGAGGUGGGAUUGCUGUGAGUUUGAGGCCAUCCUGGGCGACGUAGUGAGUCCAAGGCCAGCCUGAACUGAACUAUGCAGCGAUACACCCCCCUACACACACAAAAAAAAAUUAGGAGAAGUUUGCCACAUUAUUGGGUGGGAAUAGGUAUGGUAAAUUUUAAGCAAAUGUGGAAAACUUACAAAACAUAAACUGGGGUGGUUUCUUCAUUUGACCUAAUUUGUGAAGGACUAACUUUGAUCCAAAAUGAUAUUCAGGUGUUCUUAGUUUUUAUUGGCUCCAUAGCUGUUAGGGAAAGUUUUCAAGGAGUUCCCACCACAACCACCUAUGCCUCUCCUCUGAAGAACUUGUCAUGGAAGACAUGAAAACAGAGGCUUUUUAUCCUGUAUUUUGAAGGUGAACUCAUGCAUGUACUUGAACAUCAUUGUGCCUCCAGGAGAGAAUGGUACUCUGCAGGUAGUGUUGGACAGAAUAUGGGUAUCACCCAACCAUGACCACCUACCCUGAACCAGAUACCGCUGUGGGCACCAUAGAUGUAAUGGUGACCAAAGUCCUCUGGAGGGAGAUGCAUUCAUAAUCUAUCAGCUGGAUACCUGAGUCCACACGCAGGGUUUCCUGCAGUGACAGCAAGCAAAACAAGGUUACAUGGCGUACUGGACAUAACCAGCAACUCAGGUGUCACUCUUGCCCCCAGAUGGGACCAUCUAGUUGCAGGAAAACAAGCUCAGGGCACCCACUGAUUCUGCAUUAUGGUGAGUUGUAUAUUUACUGCAUUAUAUAUUGCAUCGUAAUAACAAGGCAUACAGUAAAUUAAUGCACCUGAAUCAUUCUGAAACCCUCUCCCCACUCCCAAUCCAUGGGGAAGUUGUCUUCAUGAAACUGGUCUUUGGCGCCAAAAAAGUUGGGGACUACUGAACUAGACUGACCAAGAAAUGACAAAUUAUCAAAGCCAGGAAAGAAGGGUAUGUCACCACCAUUCUAUAGAAAUUUUAAAGGGCCAUAAGAGAAUAAUGAACAAUUUAAUGCCAAAAGUUUAGCCUAAAUGCUAAUUUUUUUUUUUUUUUUGUACCAGGAAUUGAACUCGGGUCCUUGCGCUUGCACAGCAGGCAGUGAAACCACUGAGCUAAAUCCCCGGCCCUAAAUGCUAAUUUUUUUAAAGAAAGGCCCAACUUCCAAUGAUUGAGGAAAAGAAAAACCUGAAUAGAUUUUUAAAAACUGAAUUAGUUUAAAGUCUUCCUGUAAAGAAAUGUCCAGGCAUGGGUGCCUUCACUUAGAUUUUUGUCAAAUAUGUAAAGAAGUGAUACAGUUCCUUCACAAACUCAAAACAUAGGGGAGGACCACUUCCCAACUCAUUCGAUGAGACCAGUAUUGGCCUUACACUAAAAUCAAAGACAUCACAAAAGCAGAAAAUUGUAAGUGAAUAUCGCACACGAGCAUACCCCAGUCCUCACCAAAAUAUGAGCUGCAGGGCAUAGUGGCACCGGCCCAUAAGUCCUAGCACUUGUCAGCAUGUACAAGCUCCUGGGUUCCAUCUCUAGCACACACAUGGAUACACACACUAAAGGAAAUCAACAUAAAAAUCAUACACCAUGACCAAGUAGAAUUUAUCCUAGGAAUAUAAAACUCAGCAGCUUAAAAUAAUUACUAUCUGAAUAAAGCACAAAAUCUACACGAUUAUCUCAGGCAAAGAAAAUGAUAAAAUCUCAACAUCUUAAAACUAGGAAUAGAAGGGAAAGUUCCUCAACUUAAAAGCAUCUGUGAAAAAUCUACAGUUAGCAUACUUCAUUGUUAAAGACUAAAUGUUAAAGACCAAUGCUUAAGAUUUUGGACAAAGCAAGGAUGUCUAUUUUUUUUUUUUUUUUUUUUUUACUAGGGAUUGACGCACAGCCUUUGCACUAAACUGUAUCCCUACCCCUUUUUGAGACAGGACCUCACUAAAUUGCUAAAUUGCCCAGGCUAAGCUUGAAUUUGUGAUCAUCCUGCCUCAGUCUCCCAGAGUGCUGGGAUUAAGGCAUGGGCCACCACUCCCA